rnacentral:lncRNA from 1 species
GCGAAUAUAUGACACAUCUCUACUCAAAAUUAAUUCGUUGAAAAUAUUGAAAUGCAACGAAUAUUUAUUAAAUAAAAGUGAAGUGAAAAUGUCUGCCUGUAAAAGUGGUAGUGAAAGAAAUUAAUUGUGUGAUAAAUUGAAGCAAAAAAGAUAGUAAAGAAAAACUUGUUCCCGUGUGAAACUAGAUAAAACAAAAGAAAAAUGUGUUUAACAUUGCCGGAUUUAUUUAAGUACUACAAAAUCACUGUGUGUUUGCUAAUCUAUUACUAAGGACAUAAAUAAAAGAAAGAAAAUGACGGCUCGCUACUCCAACGCAUGCGUAUAGUCCUUCAAGCUCAUUUGGUGAAUAAACCUGUAAAGCGUUAAGCAGAAUUUCGCAAUCUGGAAAUGAAAAAAAAAAAUAUUAUUUAAAUUUUAUACAAGCAACAUCUCACUUUCGCCUACUCACUCUAACAAAAGUCGCCGAAAUGACUGGUAUGUUCCAUGGGCUUUUGAGUGUCUUGUAAGAAAAUAAGUAAAAAUCUGCGAAAAUCUUAAAAUCUAAAACAUAUCUGCCAGCUUGCGUUCGGGAUCAGUGCCUAAGUUACGAAGCGAUAUGAGAAUAUUGCCAAUCUUGAGCGUGGAAAAGUCCAUUUGUAAAAUAAAAGCGCCCCUAGAGCUGACGCAAUGUUGGGCAAUUGGGUUUGCCACUACAACUUGUUGCUUAUCAAAUACCUUGCAGACAGCUGGCAGUAGGUCCGAGUUAAGCUCCUCUUCGAUAUAAUCUACCAUUGACUUUAAUAAUUGGCGCUGCGUCGGUGUGCUUGCCUAGCAGCCUUUACAGUAUACUACGCAACCAGUGAUCCAUGAACGCAGACUCCCUUAUUGUCAAAAGAGUACAGUAUAGUAUAAUUUUCACGUCUCACAAGGGCGUUGCAAUACUCUUGGGAGGAUAUAAUUGCUAUGAAGCUACGGCUGAUGUCUCCUUGCGCUUAAAUUAGAUUUUGGCAUGUCCGCCGAGUCGGCUUUAGGAGUCUUCGAGAGAAGGUUUGAAGAAAAUAUUUGCAGUUAUCUACGAACUGGCGACACUGAGUACAGCAGGCAAUAGAAAUAUGCUAUUUGAGAAUUCGACGAGGCGAUUACGAUGAGGAGACAACGACUACGUUGGCCAGCAGAGGAAGAAGACAUGUAAUCCGUUGUAAAAACUGGAUGUAGCAAGAUCUGGCUUCGUAUGGUAUCUCCACCACAAGCACUGUGAGAACUAGUCACAUUCAAAUACGCCAAUGACGAUGAAGAAGAAGAGACUAUAAAACGCCAGACAGGCAUCACUAACUCGCCAGCCAGUUUGUGUGCGUCACCCUUGCAAAGCAAGCAUAAAUCAAUUGUGAGAGGUUUUCUAGUCUAUUUUCGGCACUACGUCUAUUUGCUUUACUAAAACUGGCUGAAUUGAAAAGUUUUUGGACCUUAGAGACCUUCGAGUCUUUCCUUUACGCCCAUAUUGUUGAUAAAACUAUAAAGGGUAAAUGAGAACUUGGCGAUCUGUAAGAGAAAGAGAUAAAAAGAAAACAGAACGAGUGAGAGGAAGCGGUAAACGGUUUUUU